CCUACGGGGGGCUGUAGUCGGGAAUUUUGGGCAAUGGGCGAAAGCCUGAUCCAGCAACGCCGCGUGAAGGAUGAAGUAUUUCGGUAUGUAAACUUCUAAAGUAUGGGAAGAAUAAAUGACGGUACCAUUUAUAAGGUCCGGCUAACUACGUGCCAGCAGCCGCGGUAAUACGUAGGGACCAAGCGUUGUUCGGAUUUACUGGGCGUAAAGGGCGCGUAGGCGGCAUUGUAAGUCACUUGUGAAAUCUCCGGGCUUAACCCAGAACGGGCAAGUGAUACUGCAGUGCUAGAGUGCAGAAGGGGCAAGCGGAAUUCUCGGUGUAGCGGUGAAAUGCGUAGAUAUCGAGAGGAACACCUGAGGUGAAGACGGGUUGCUGGGCUGACACUGACGCUGAGGCGCGAAAGCCAGGGGAGCAAACGGGAUUAGAUACCCUUGUAGUC
rnacentral:rRNA from 1 species